rnacentral:rRNA from 1 species
CCUACGGGACGCAGCAGUAGGGAAUUUUCGUCAAUGGGCGCAAGCCUGAACGAGCAAUGCCGCGUGAACGAGGAAGGUCUUCGGAUCGUAAAGUUCUGUUGAAGGGGAAAAAGAGCGGAGAGAGGAAAUGAACUCCGAUUGAUAUUACCCUUCGAGGAAGUCACGGCUAACUACGUGCCAGCAGCCGCGGUAAUACGUAGGGGGCAAGCGUUGUCCGGAAUUAUUGGGCGUAAAGAGUACGUAGGCGGUCUGUUAAGCGCAAGGUGAAAGGCAUAGGCUCAACCAAUGUGAGCCUUGCGAACUGG